rnacentral:rRNA from 1 species
UAGGGAAUCUUCGGCAAUUGGGGGAACCCUGACCGAGCAACGCCGCGUGAGUGAAGAAGGUUUUCGGAUCGUAAAGCUCUGUUGUUAAGGAAGAACGAGUGUGAGAAUGGAAAGUUCAUGCUGUGACGGUACUUAACCAGAAAGGGACGGCUAACUACGUGCCAGCAGCCGCGGUAAUACGUAGGUCCCGAGCGUUGUCCGGAUUUAUUGGGCGUAAAGCGAGCGCAGGCGGUUAGAAAAGUCUGAAGUGAAAGGCAGUGGCUCAACCAUUGUAGGCUUUGGAAACUGUUUAACUUGAGUGCAGAAGGGGAGAGUGGAAUUCCAUGUGUAGCGGUGAAAUGCGUAGAUAUAUGGAGGAACACCGGUGGCGAAAGCGGCUCUCUGGUCUGUAACUGACGCUGAGGCUCGAAAGCGUGGGGAGCGAACAGG